AUUCCCGGUGUAGCGGUGAAAUGCGUAGAUAUCGGGAAGAACACCAGUGGCGAAGGCGCUCUGCUGGGCCAUCACUGACGCUCAUGGACGAAAGCCAGGGGAGCGAAAGGGAUUAGAUACCCCUGUAGUCCUGGCCGUAAACGAUGAACACUAGGUGUCGGGGGAAUCGACCCCUCCGGUGUCGUAGCCAACGCGUUAAGUGUUCCGCCUGGGGAGUACGCACGCAAGUGUGAAACUCAAAGGAAUUGACGGGGGCCCGCACAAGCGGUGGAGUAUGUGGUUUAAUUCGAUGCAACGCGAAGAACCUUACCAGGGUUUGACAUCCUGCGAAUCUCUUGGAAACUUGAGAGUGCCUUCGGGAGCGCAGUGACAGGUGGUGCAUGGCUGUCGUCAGCUCGUGUCGUGAGAUGUUGGGUUAAGUCCCGCAACGAGCGCAACCCACGUCUUUAGUUGCCAGCAUUUAGUUGGGCACUCUAGAGAGACCGCCGGUGAUAAACCGGAGGAAGGUGUGGAUGACGUCAAGUCAUCAUGCCCCUUACAUCCUGGGCUACACACGUACUACAAUGCUACAGACAAAGGGCAGCAAGUUCGCGAGGACAAGCAAAUCCCAUAAACCGUGGCUCAGUUCAGAUCGUAGGCUGCAACUCGCCUACGUGAAGGAGGAAUCGCUAGUAAUCGCAGGUCAGCAUACUGCGGUGAAUACGUUCCCGCGCCUUGCACACACCGCCCG
rnacentral:rRNA from 1 species